UACGUAGGGGGGCUAGCGUUGUCCGGAAUUAUUGGGCGUAAAGCGCGCGCAGGCGGCUUCUUAAGUCUGAUGUGAAAUCUUGCGGCUCAACCGCAAACGGUCAUUGGAAACUGGGAGCUUGAGUGCAGAAGAGGAGAGUAGAAUUCCACGUGUAGCGGUGAAAUGCGUAGAUAUGUGGAGGAAUACCAGUGGCGAAGGCGGCUCUCUGGUCUGUAACUGACGCUGAGGCGCGAAAGCGUGGGGAGCAAACAGG
rnacentral:rRNA from 1 species